rnacentral:rRNA from 1 species
GAUUCUUUUCGGGUGUAAUAGAUACAUGCAGUCGAGCGAACAGAUAAGGAGCUUGCUCCUUUGACGUUAGCGGCGGACGGGUGAGUAACACGUGGAUAACCUACCUAUAAGACUGGGAUAACUUCGGGAAACCGGAGCUAAUACCGGAUAAGAUUUUGAACCGCAUGGUUCAAUAGUGAAAGACGGCCUUGCUGUCACUUAUAGAUGGAUCCGCGCCGUAUUAGCUAGUUGGUAAGGUAACGGCUUACCAAGGCAACGAUACGUAGCCGACCUGAGAGGGUGAUCGGCCACACUGGAACUGAGACACGGUCCAGACUCCUACGGGAGGCAGCAGUAGGGAAUCUUCCGCAAUGGGCGAAAGCCUGACGGAGCAACGCCGCGUGAGUGAUGAAGGUCUUCGGAUCGUAAAACUCUGUUAUCAGGGAAGAACAAACGUGUAAGUAACUGUGCACGUCUUGACGGUACCUGAUCAGAAAGCCACGGCUAACUACGUGCCAGCAGCCGCGGUAAUACGUAGGUGGCAAGCGUUAUCCGGAAUUAUUGGGCGUAAAGCGCGCGUAGGCGGUUUUUUAAGUCUGAUGUGAAAGCCCACGGCUCAACCGUGGAGGGUCAUUGGAAACUGGAAAACUUGAGUGCAGAAGAGGAAAGUGGAAUUCCAUGUGUAGCGGUGAAAUGCGCAGAGAUAUGGAGGAACACCAGUGGCGAAGGCGACUUUCUGGUCUGUAACUGACGCUGAUGUGCGAAAGCGUGGGGAUCAAACAGGAUUAGAUACCCUGAUAGUCCACGCCGUAAACGAUGAGUGCUAAGUGUUAGGGGGUUUCCGCCCCUUAGUGCUGCAGCUAACGCAUUAGCACUCCGCCUGGGGAGUACGACCGCAGUUGAAACUCAGAAAUAUUGUGACACGGAA